rnacentral:rRNA from 1 species
UACGGGGGGAGCAAGCGUUGUUCGGAUUUACUGGGCGUAAAGGGCGCGUAGGCGGCUUGGCAAGUGGAUGGUGAAAUCCCUCGGCUUAACCGAGGAACUGCCCGUCCAAACUGCUUUGCUUGAGACCGGGAGAGGUGAGUGGAAUUCCCAGUGUAGCGGUGAAAUGCGUAGAUAUUGGGAGGAACACCAGUGGCGAAGGCGGCUCACUGGACCGGUACUGACGCUGAUGCGCGAAGCGUGGGGAGCAACGGG